rnacentral:rRNA from 1 species
CCUACGGGAGGCUGCAGUGGGGAAUAUUGCACAAUGGGGGAAACCCUGAUGCAGCGACGCAGCGUGAGUGAAGAAGCGUUUCGGCGCGUAAAGCUCUGUCAGCGGGGAAGAAACACGGUUCGCGAGAGCCGCGGACGGUACCCGACCAAGAAGCCCAGGGUAACUACGUGCCAGCAGCCGCGGGAAGACGUAGGGGGUAAGGGGUAUCCGGAUUCACUGGGUGUAAAGGGGGCGGAGACGGCGAGACAAGUCUGGAGUGAAAGGCCGGGGCCCAACCCCGGGACUGCUCUGGAAACUGGCUGGCUGGAGUACAGGAGAGGUAAGUGGAAUUCCUAGUGUAGCGGUGAAAUGCGUAGAUAUUAGGAAGAACACCAGUGGCGAAGGCAGCUUACUGGACUGUAACUGACGUUGAGGCUCGAAAGCGUGGGGAGCAAACAGGAUUAGAUACCCGUGUAGUC